rnacentral:rRNA from 1 species
GACGAACGCUGGCGGCGCGCCUAACACAUGCAAGUCGAACGAGAAUCAACGGAUUGAGGAUUCGUCCAAAUGAAGUUGAGGAAAGUGGCGGACGGGUGAGUAACGCGUGAGGAACCUGCCUCGGAGUGGGGAAUAACAGUUGGAAACAGCUGCUAAUACCGCAUAAUGCAACGGAAUCGCAUGACUCUGUUGCCAAAGAUUUAUCGCUCUGAGAUGGCCUCGCGUCUGAUUAGCUAGUUGGCGGGGUAACGGCCCACCAAGGCGACGAUCAGUAGCCGGACUGAGAGGUUGGCCGGCCACAUUGGGACUGAGACACGGCCCAG